rnacentral:rRNA from 1 species
CCGGCGCACGGGUGAGUAACGCGUAUGCAACCUGCCUGAUACCGGGGUAUAGCCCAUGGAAACGUGGAUUAACACCCCAUAGUACUUUUAUCCUGCAUGGGAUGUGAGUUAAAUGUUCAAGGUAUCGGAUGGGCAUGCGUCCUAUUAGUUAGUUGGCGGGGUAACAGCCCACCAAGACGAUGAUAGGUAGGGGUUCUGAGAGGAAGGUCCCUCACAUUGGAACUGAGACACGGUCCAA